rnacentral:rRNA from 1 species
UAGUGGCAGACGGGUGAGUAAUGCAUAGGAAUCUACCUAGUAGUAUGGGAUAGCCACUGGAAAUGGUGGGUAAUACCGUAUAAUCCCCGCGGGGGAAAGAUUUAUCGCUAUUAGAUGAGCCUAUGUCGGAUUAGCUAGUUGGUGGGGUAAUGGCCUACCAAGGCAGUGAUCUGCAGCUGGUCUGAGAGGAUGAUCAGCCACACUGGAACUGAGACACGGUCCAGACUCCUACGGGAGGCAGCAGUGGGGAAUAUUGGACAAUGGGCGCAAGCCUGAUCCAGCUAUGCCGCGUGAGUGAGGAAGGCCUUAGGGUUGUAAAACUCUUUCAGUAGGGAAGAUAAUGACGGUACCUA